rnacentral:misc_RNA from 1 species
UCCGGUUUGUCACCGGCUUUCCCGUGCAUGUCAAGCCCAGGUAAGGUUCUUCGCGUUGCUUCGAAUUAAACCACAUGCUCCACCGCUUGUGCGGGCCCCCGUCAAUUCCUUUGAGUUUCAACCUUGCGGUCGUACUUCCCAGGUGGAUAACUUAAUGCUUUCGCUUAGACGCGUACGGUGUAUUGCACACAUCGAGUUAUCAUCGUUUAGGGCGUGGACUAC